rnacentral:rRNA from 1 species
GACGAACGCUGGCGGCGUGCCUAAUACAUGCAAGUAGAACGCUGAAGGAGGAGCUUGCUUCUCCGGAUGAGUUGCGAACGGGUGAGUAACGCGUAGGUAACCUGCCUGGUAGCGGGGGAUAACUAUUGGAAACGAUAGCUAAUACCGCAUAACAGUAGAUGUUGCAUGACAUUUGCUUAAAAGGUGCAAUUGCACCACUACCAGAUGGACCUGCGUUGUAUUAGCUAGUUGGUGAGGUAACGGCUCACCAAGGCGACGAUACAUAGCCGACCUGAGAGGGUGAUCGGCCACACUGGGACUGAGACACGGCCCAGACUCCUACGGGAGGCAGCAGUAGGGAAUCUUCGGCAAUGGACGGAAGUCUGACCGAGCAACGCCGCGUGAGUGAAGAAGGUUUUCGGAUCGUAAAGCUCUGUUGUAAGAGAAGAACGAGUGUGAGAGUGGAAAGUUCACACUGUGACGGUAUCUUACCAGAAAGGGACGGCUAACUACGUG